GUGGGGAAUAUUGGACAAUGGGGGGAACCCUGAUCCAGCCAUGCCGCGUGUGUGAAGAAGGCCUUUUGGUUGUAAAGCACUUUAAGCGAGGAGGAGGCUACCGAGAUUAAUACUCUUGGAUAGUGGGCGUUACUCGCAGAAUAAGCACCGGCUAACUCUGUGCCAGCAGCCGCGGUAAUACAGAGGGUGCAAGCGUUAAUCGGAUUUACUGGGCGUAAAGCGCGCGUAGGUGGCCAAUUAAGUCAAAUGUGAAAUCCCCGAGCUUAACUUGGGAAUUGCAUUCGAUACUGGUUGGCUAGAGUAUGGGAGAGGAUGGUAGAAUUCCAGGUGUAGCGGUGAAAUGCGUAGAGAUCUGGAGGAAUACCGAUGGCGAAGGCAGCCAUCUGGCCUAAUACUGACACUGAGGUGCGAAAGCAUGGGGAGCAAACAGGAUUAGAAACCCUUGUAGUCC
rnacentral:rRNA from 1 species